rnacentral:lncRNA from 1 species
AUGCAUUCUUGGUUUCACGUUUGCUUCAAUUUUUGUUAUGCGAUUUAAAAUUAUUGAUGUAUUAGAAAGAAAAUUGUAUGAUUUAAAAUGAUUUCAGCAUGGUUUUUAGUCUAGCUAUCACAAAUAUUAUCACUACAAUUUUUAGCACUUUCAUGCAUGUAAAUUUAAGGGUAAGAAGAAGACAUUACCAUAGAGACAUUAGCACUAGAUUCUCCAAAUAUGCUUGAUCUUUGGGGCAUCAUUUGACGUGCUAAACCCAUUUCAUGAGCUAAACCCUCUUCCUGUUAUCAAAAGAUUUAUGAUUUAAAGUUGGAUCCCGUGGAAAAAAUAACAAAAUACAGGUAGAGAAAGGAAUGGCUAAAAUGGUAAAGGGACAGUUAACCAUUAGGUUAUUGAUGUGACCUUCCAUUAUCGAUGUUGCAUGAUUGGGUUCAAUUUUGUUAUAUGA